GCUCGGAACAAGUAGUUCCACUCACUUUUGUCGAAGCACUACAUCACUGGGUGAGAUUGGAUAACACUUCAUAACGAUGAAGGGCCCGGUUCAAAACUUGCAGAUCGAAGAUUGGCUGUAACCCACUGCCUUUUUUGGGUACAAUGAAGUAAGGGCUCUAAAACCCCGCCCUCAUAUCGGCUGUAGGGACCGGCUCUAUCGCAUCCUUCGCCAGUAGCACUGCGAUCUCUGCCCUCAGAACAGGGGCAUUGCCCACUUUCACUAUAGUGAAGCGGAUACCAGUAAACUUGGGGGGGAUGCUGGGCGAACUGAAUCACAUAGCCUAGGCUGAUGGUCCACAGAAGCCAGCAAGACGGGCUGGGUAGCACUGACCGGGUGCUAAGAAACCGACAAGUGGAACCAGUGGAACGACAGCCGUACCCGCAGUGGGGCAGCGAGGUGGAACACAGGGACCCAACACUGUGGUGUGAGUGUGGGGUGCAAGGCUCCCCUGUUUCCACGGGUUGGCAGAGGGUGCAUGAGUACUGUCUACGAUACUGUCGUUCGGCUCCGAAGCGAAAAGCUGGUAUGCAUUGCACCUGCUGCUGCCUUAUACUCACUCUGUGAUAAGCAGCAGCUGGAUGCAAUAAUUGCAUGCCAAUAUGCAUUGGCUCGUUUAGUUUACACUCAAAGUAGAUUGGUCUAUCAAAGCGAUAUCCCAAUUCGUCGGUCACCGACGUGACGUUGAGAGAGACUGACUGAUAGGGAAUUAAUUUUAACUGUUGUGGACAAUUAAUCAAUUGAAUGUUGAAGUAUCUAGCCAAAUAUCUAACGUUCCAAGUUUACUCAAUUUAAUUGUUAUUAAAGGCCUUAAAUAAAAAAGUUUACACUUUUUCUUAGCUUUGGAAAUUUACUGAUGAAAUCAAGAAACAGUGGAGAUUUUUCCACUAAAUAUGAAGAAAUGAGAGGACAUAUUGCAUCAUAAUGACCAGUCAAAUGUGUUAGCUCAAAAUGCAACUGAAAGACACGUGAUGUUCCGAUCAGCGGUACAGAGAGUCAGCUUUUUCCCGAAUGUUUUCUAAAGCAUCUAGUUUCCUGUGAGUGAGUUUCACUGCUGUGCGUCAGUGUCGCACCUCAUGCACCAUGGCUUCAGUGGUGUGUUGGCUGGUUAUUCGAGCUGUGCUGGCAGCUGUCUAGUGUUGACGGAACAGUGAGGAUGCUAAAUCAUCCUCUAAGUCUCAUUAGGCUGAACAUUAGGGCUUUGUGUGGUUGAAAGAGGGUGUCAUUUCAUGUAAGACAUGUAAAUGUUUUGUCAAAGGUUAAGUAGCUAAGAAACCUCAAACGUAUUCUUAAGAUGACAGAUCAACAGCAAACAGCCAAAUUCUAUUACUCACUGGAUGAUCUUUUAUAGCUUAAGUCUGACAUACACAAAAUACUUCUUCUGACCAGAUAUUAAAAUGUUAGACAUCAUACAAUUUCCAAUUUCAUAAAUGGUUAUACUAGGCAUCAUACACUAAACGACUAAGGAUCACACACUACCAGACUUUCAAGUCUUUCCAAACACAAUAAACUCAUGGAGAAACAUAUGCCAAGUUUGAUAUCCUCUGACUGGAUGGAAUCACAGUCUGAAUCUAAAAGAUCCUCUGUUUGUCUGAAAAACUAUAGACUGACUCUGAAUUUCAGCAAGUACCAUUGACUCCAAACUUCCAGACUGUAAAUCUGAAAAAAAAAAAAAAAAAAAAAAUUCUGUAAAAAAAGUCAGGUAAAAAAAAAAAAGGAUUUUUGAGGUCAAUUGUUUUCGCCAGAUGUUUCUUCCAAAAAAAUUCUUCAUAAUAUCACAUGAACAAGAGUGCUGUGGGUCUAAUUUGGCAGCGGGUAAACACAACCUUUCUGAUAAUCAAACCAAUAACACAAUAAUUAACACAAUAUAUAAAAUAGAUCCAAAAGCAUAAUUAACCGCUGUGUCCAUGAAUGAAUCAAUGCUAUUGCACGAAUUGGUGAAUGAUUCAAUGACUCACUCAUACUUCUUUCGAUUGUGGAUGAGUCUGCAUUUUCGAAAAGUUGGUUAAUUGAAUAAUUCAACAACUUACUCAUAAAUACAGUCACCUGUUUUGUUUCUGAAUGAAUCCAUGUUUAAAGGAUUAGUUCACUUCCGGAAUAAAAAUGUCCUGAUAAUUUACUCACUGCCGUGUCAUCCAAGAUGUUCAUGUCUUUCUUUCUUCAAAAGAAAAGAAAAACGGUUUUUGAGGAAAACCUUAUGGCGAAAUCUUUUUCUAAAAAUAAAUAAAUAAAAAUGAUAUACUUUUAACCACAAAUGAAGUAGGCAGAAGUAUAGUGUUUUAAAAGCGAACGUGCAAAGAAAGUCAAACGCCCUUUACAAAAAAGGUAAAACAACGAUGACAGACGAUUUUGAAGUUAGAGGAAAAAAUUAGAUGGAGUUUUUGCCUACCUUUUUGAACCAAAAUAUACAGACAAUGAAUUAACUGUGUGUGAACUUUCCAAUAUGAUUACACAAUGCAUGAAGAUGUGCAUCACAGAGCUAGUGCAAUAUUGAGCAUUUGUGGUUAAAAAGUAGAUACAUGUUUAUUUUUUUAGAAAUAAACCGAUCGUUUUUGCUAGAUAAGACCCUUAUACCUCAGCUCGGAUCAUGUAGAGCCCUUUGAAGCUGCAAUUUGGAGCUUCAACUCCUAUUGAAGACCACUAUAUGGAGAAAAAUCCUGGAAUGUUUUCCUCAAAAACCGAAUUUAUUUUCGACUGAAGAAAGAAAGCCAUGAACAUCUUGGAUGACAUGAGGUGAGGAAAUUAUCUGGAAAUUUUUAGUCUGGAAGUGAGUCUGUCUGCAACAUACAAAAACAGACAAGCGGAUUGAUUCAAACAGUGACACGUCCCAAUGCUUUUGGACUGUAAUAUCAGGCUGUAUGCUAAUCUCAGAACCAUCUGAUGGUAUUUCUUAGGAGAUAUAAAAAUAGACAAAAGUAAGACAGUUUUUGGCAUAAAGUAAGCAUAAAAUGAAUGUGGAUAGCAUAGUUCAGGUUAUUUGAUGAAAAAUGUCUAGAAAAAGAUCCGUUGUCUCUAAAACUCUAGAGGGCACACUAGAAAAUUACCAGGGUAUUUCUAUCAGGGGGAAUGUAUAAGAAUUAUAUAUUUUUCUUUCUUCUCCAUUUAACAUCAUUGAUAUCUAAGAGAACUACUGAGAUACUAUAAAGACCUUAUUUGUGAUUUUUCAUUCCUGGGUCAUUUUGGCCUUCACAUAUCCAACAUUUGAAAAUGUAAUGAAAUUGUUUUUUUUUUUUAAUUACUAAUGUCAUAUUUUUCUUUAAAUUGUGAGUGGCUGAUGGUGGAGGGUGUUGAAUUUGGCUCUUCUGGACAGGACUCACACCCUUUAAUGAAAUAAUAGCUCAGUGCCUCUACAGACAUGUGCAGAAUGGCACAGCUAUCCGCUCUUAUCCAGGGGAAUGUCGAGCUGGCUGGCUGUCCCAUAGAAGAAGGGCGCAAUGGUAUGAGGGCUCUAAAACCAUCAGAAGUUGACCUCAUGGGCAAGCAGGCAGAGGGACGCGAUCUCCCUGCGGUCAGCAUUAACACCUCCGGCACAGUUCAACCCACUACACACACACCACAGCACAGGCCAGCUGGAUUAAGUGAGGCCGCCGGUGGAAUCAAAUGGCAUAUAAUGAUAGCAGACAGCUUUUGUAGGACAGGAGUCUUCUCAACUAUGCUUUUGAAAGCAUAUAAAUAGGCCUAUUGGUGUUUAUGCAUUAAAGCUAAAGUUGAUGAAUUGCUUUAUUUUGGAUUCAGUUUUGAAUAUUCUAAUUUGAUUUGGGUUCUUAAAUAAACCUUAAAUAAAUACUUCAGCCUGGUGACACACAAAAUGAGAAGUUUAAUAGAAUGUCCUAGCGGCUCUAUUCCAUACAAAGGAAGUUGAUGGUGAUUUAAACUGAUAUGGUCCAAAAUUAUAAAAGAAGUCCUAAAAGGAUAAUUUUUGGGUGAACUAUUCCAUCUAAUGGUUAAUUAAAUAAAACUCUAAUUUCUUUUUUGUUGCAUUGACUUCCACUGAUGGAUUUUGAAGGAGGGACCAGCACCUGGACAUUACAACCCAAGGCCAAGCACAGGCAUUGCAGUCACUUCCUGCUUUAGGUCUACUGUACCACAGCUGUACAGCGUGCACUCGGUAAGCUCCAUUUCUAUGCCUGUUUUACAAUAGCAAAAUCAGUUUAAGGCCAGCAAACACCACAGCCAGACAGUAUAUUGUUCAUCAUAAGUGGGAAGGAUGUACAUGUUUUUAAAUGUGAAAUGAAGCUAAAAGUCUCAAAACCUUGCCAUUUUGCCUGUUUUUGACAAAGGUCAGCGGAAUAGCACUUAUGUCAAAGUGGACUUCUUUUUCGCAACAUACCAUGAACUUCAUUUAUUCCUUUUAUAUUUCCCAUUCUUUAGUAAGUAAAGUGUUUCCAGCUGGCAUGUGACACGUUCAGUGUUGAAAUGUGGUUGAAAUACAGUAAUGUAAGCGGUUGUUUUAACAUUGGAAAAACAUUAAUUCUGAAUUGUAAAAAAACAAAGUUAAAAAAAGAUGCAUACACUAACACUGAAAAUUUUUGAAAAUGACCUUUCAUGCAGUGUGUAACACAGCUCUAAGUGAAUGAAAACAUCCUGCAAAGUUUUAAAAAGUGUACUGCCAUGAUGAAAUGGAAAUGAGACCAAUCGGACAAAUCACCGCAGAUUAGCGUCACGCAAAAGAGGGGUUUGGAAAACUGAAAAAACGAAUCGUUUGGGAGACGUUGAGCAAGUAAGGUAAAAAUAAAUGCAUAUAAUAAGACAAUAAAAGUGUUUUUUGACCUUGCAUGCAUACCAACCUGUUGUUGGGUACUCCCAAAACCAAAAUAUUAACCUUUCAUUACCCAUAAUAGGGGCACUUUAACAAGAUAUUGAAGAUACAUUGAAAUAACAUCGCCGUAUUGACAUUGAUUCGAUCUGAACAAUCAAAACAAAAUUAAAUAGUGAUUCAACCUUGAUCCAUGAUGUUGCUUUACCUGUGAAUAAUUGUUGAAAUGCUGGCUGGGUUGCCUCUAAAAAGUUACAAAUUAACUGAAAAUGAUUAUGUAUUACAUUUUUUUUUUUAAAUAUACUUUUAAGAUGCACAGGUGCACAUUUAAUAAAAUUUUGCACACUUUAUUUUCACAAGGGAGGGUCUCAUUGCUAUCUCUAUUAUGUUAUGAUAAUGCCCGCAUCUGCCUUUUUCCUAACAAGCCCACUGCGUUUUAAAUUAUGUAAGGCACUUACAGUUUAGGGAAGGUCCAUUCAAAAAGACUGUAACAAAUCAUUUCAAAUCAUAAGAUUGCGCUCCAAAUAAAACUUAUCCGUCAUUUUGACUGAAUGGGCUGGAAAUUUAUUUUCAUUAAUUUUCUAUUUUCAGAAGUCAGGAGAAUAACAAUAUUACUGUGACGCGAUAUAACAACAUCUAUAGAAUAGCUCUUUAUCAUUAUUUUCCUCUUGAUUAUUUGCAUGCUUCCUUUGUAUUCCGCUGUAAGUAAAUGAAAAAAUAUAACAUAUACUGUGCAUUUGUGGUCUGCUCUCCCGAUUUAAUUUAUGAUAUAAACCAUGAAU